rnacentral:sRNA from 1 species
ACUGGAUGUGGUGGCCCACAUCUGUAAUUUCAGCUACUUGGGAGGAUGAGGCAGGAUAAUUGUAAGUUCAAGGCUAAUCUGGGCAACAUAGUGAGAUCCUGUCUUAA